GAGAAAUACGGACGGAAUCGGGCUGGUCGUCGGCGAGAUCGCACCGGAUCAAAGCGAAGACAGCCGUCGCUCUCAAUCGAUUUGCCGAUCUAUUUACGACGUGUUUAUUAUGCUCGCGGUGUCUUUUCGGUCGCGCCGAAAAUGUCGGUGUCUUUUUUUUCUUCUCUCGGAAUCGGAUCGUCGAGAGGGAAUUUCGCGAAAAUAUAGGCACAUUUGAAAACUGCGCCCCGAAGCCUACCAUGUUCAAGCGUGACUCAUCAUUAUUUCGUUUCGGCGCUCUUUGUGCCACGUUGACCGGUUAAUGUUUAUAAGCCGAUCGUCAUCGGAGAAGAAAUGGAAAUGAAUCUUCCCUCCAGUUAAAAGAAUCUGAAACCGAAGAUAAAAUAUUCAAAAUGCGACGUAACAUUUUGCCGGGAGAACACGUAGCCUCUCCGUAUCAUCGAACAUCGGAACUCCACGUAAAUGUAACCCCAGCGAAUUAUAUUAGACCAAUAAGGCAACGCAUCAUUGCUGCAACACGCAGCACAUAAAAGCACACACGUAAGGUGUGACAACAAGAAUCGCGGGGAUUGAAAUCCAGAAGGAUCGCAAGAGAGUAAGAAAAA